rnacentral:rRNA from 1 species
GACGAACUUUGGCGGCGUGCUUAACACAUGCAAGUCGAACGGAAAGGCCCUGCUUUUGUGGGGUGCUCGAGUGGCGAACGGGUGAGUAACACGUGAGUAACCUGCCCUUGACUUUGGGAUAACUUCAGGAAACUGGGGCUAAUACCGGAUAGGAGCUCCUGCUGCAUGGUGGGGGUUGGAAAGUUUCGGCGGUUGGGGAUGGACUCGCGGCUUAUCAGCUUGUUGGUGGGGUAGUGGCUUACCAAGGCUUUGACGGGUAGCCGGCCUGAGAGGGUGACCGGCCACAUUGGGACUGAGAUACGGCCCAGACUCCUACGGGAGGCAGCAGUGGGGAAUAUUGCACAAUGGGCGGAAGCCUGAUGCAGCAACGCCGCGUGCGGGAUGACGGCCUUCGGGUUGUAAACCGCUUUCGCCUGUGACGAAGCGUGAGUGACGGUAAUGGUUAAAGAAGCACCGGCUAACUACGUGCCAGCAGCCGCGGUGAUACGUAGGGUGCGAGCGUUGUCCGGAUUUAUUGGGCGUAAAGGGCUCGUAGGUGGUUGAUCGCGUCGGAAGUGUAAUCUUGGGGCUUAACCCUGAGCGUGCUUUCGAUACGGGUUGACUUGAGGAAGGUAGGGGAGAAUGGAAUUCCUGGUGGAGCGGUGGAAUGCGCAGAUAUCAGGAGGAACACCAGUGGCGAAGGCGGUUCUCUGGGCCUUUCCUGACGCUGAGGAGCGAAAGCGUGGGGAGCGAACAGGCUUAGAUACCCUGGUAGUCCACGCUGUAAACGGUGGGUACUAGGUGUGGGGUCCAUUCCACGGGUUCCGUGCCGUAGCUAACGCUUUAAGUACCCCGCCUGGGGAGUACGGCCGCAAGGCUAAAACUCAAAGGAAUUGACGGGGCCCCGCACAAGCGGCGGAGCAUGCGGAUUAAUUCGAUGCAACGCGUAGAACCUUACCUGGGUUUGGCAUGGAUCGGGAGCGCUCAGAGAUGGGUGUGCCUCUUUUGGGGUCGGUUCACAGGUGGUGCAUGGCUGUCGUCAGCUCGUGUCGUGAGAUGUUGGGUUAAGUCCCGCAACGAGCGCAACCCUUGUUCACUGUUGCCAGCACGUUAUGGUGGGGACUCAGUGGAGACCGCCGGGGUCAACUCGGAGGAAGGUGGGGAUGACGUCAAGUCAUCAUGCCCCUUAUGUCCAGGGCUUCACGCAUGCUACAAUGGCUGGUACAGAGAGUGGCGAGCCUGUGAGGGUGAGCGAAUCUCGGAAAGCCGGUCUCAGUUCGGAUUGGGGUCUGCAACUCGACCUCAUGAAGUCGGAGUCGCUAGUAAUCGCAGAUCAGCAACGCUGCGGUGAAUACGUUCCCGGGGCU